CCCUUAGAUGUUCUGGGCCGCACGCGCGCUACACUGAAGGGAUCAGCGUGUUUUCCCUUCCCGAGAGGGACGGGUAACCCGCUGAACCCCCUUCGCGGUAGGGAUCGGAGCUUGCAAUUGUUCUCCGUGAACCAGGAAUUCCCAGUAAGCGCAAGUCAUAAGCUUGCGUUGAUUACGUCCCUGCCCUUUGUACACACCGCCCGUCGCUACUACCGAUUGAACGUUUUAGUGAGGUAUUUGGACUGGGCCUUGGGAGGUUUCGGCCUCCCUUGUUGCUCGGAAAGACUCCCAAACUUGAGCGUUUAGAGGAAGUAAAAGUCGUAACA
rnacentral:rRNA from 1 species